rnacentral:rRNA from 1 species
AUUGAACGCUGGCGGCAGGCCUAACACAUGCAAGUCGAGCGGAUGAAGGGAGCUUGCUCCUGGAUUCAGCGGCGGACGGGUGAGUAAUGCCUAGGAAUCUGCCUGGUAGUGGGGGAUAACGUCCGGAAACGGGCGCUAAUACCGCAUACGUCCUGAGGGAGAAAGUGGGGGAUCUUCGGACCUCACGCUAUCAGAUGAGCCUAGGUCGGAUUAGCUAGUUGGUGGGGUAAAGGCCUACCAAGGCGACGAUCCGUAACUGGUCUGAGAGGAUGAUCAGUCACACUGGAACUGAGACACGGUCCAGACUCCUACGGGAGGCAGCAGUGGGGAAUAUUGGACAAUGGGCGAAAGCCUGAUCCAGCCAUGCCGCGUGUGUGAAGAAGGUCUUCGGAUUGUAAAGCACUUUAAGUUGGGAGGAAGGGCAGUAAGUUAAGACCUUGCUGUUUUGACGUUACCAACAGAAUAAGCACCGGCUAACUUCGU